AGCUUUGAUUGUAUGUUCUGGAAAUCUGAUGGUUCUAGGAUACUCUCAGAGGUGUUGGCCCCCAAAAUACUUCCUAAUAAAUCUCCUGCAUGAAAUCACCAUCUCAAAGUGUACCUUCUGGAGAAUACAGUGUUUGGAAAGCAGUAAGUCAUGGCUAAAUACAGCAAUAUGCUCUGGAGUUCACUUGGAUACUUCCCUAGGCAAAAGGCAAGUCCAAUUAUGGAUAAACAUGGCUAGACUACGAGCUCAACAUCAAGAAAAGCCAUUUCACCUAUGUAACCAACUAACCUAGAUGACCAAGCCUAAUUAUAGAGUUUUCAUUCAAAACCACUUUGUGCUUGGUAGACACUAAAUUGAAGCAAGGCAGCAAGUGGGUCUCACAGCCAGUCCCUCAAAGACGUAUCAAAAGCAGGAACUUCUUAAAACACUAGAAACUGAACUAGUACUUUACAACCCAUCAGCAAACUAAAGACGGGGAAGACCACACAAAGAUUAUUCACCUUAAUCAAAAACAUGGGACCAGCUCAGCAGCUCAUCACCACAGAAAAUAGAUGAAUGGAAAGAAAAUGGCUGCUCUAGACACGAGGCAAUUUCUGGAAAUCAGGAUGGUGACAUUGGAGAAGAAACUGAAGAUUCUUGGAGAAAUAUUAACUUCAUCUCAGUAAAAUGGAAGGCUUGCCAUGUUUCUCCUGUGGCUUUGACUACUCCUGGCACAUUGUACCUGCAACUUCCCUGCCUGGCCCUCACCCUGAGGCACAAAGACUCC
ensembl:lncRNA MAPK10-AS1 MAPK10 antisense RNA 1